UACGUAGGGCGCAAGCGUUGUCCGGAAUCAUUGGGCGUAAAGAGCUCGUAGGCGGCUUGUCACGUCGGCUGUGAAAACCCGGGGCUCAACCCCGGGCCUGCAGUCGAUACGGGCAGGCUAGAGUUCGGUAGGGGAGACUGGAAUUCCCGGUGUAGCGGUGAAAUGCGCAGAUAUCGGGAGGAACACCGGUGGCGAAGGCGGGUCUCUGGGCCGAUACUGACGCUGAGGAGCGAAAGCGUGGGGAGCGAACAGG
rnacentral:rRNA from 1 species